rnacentral:lncRNA from 1 species
CUUGGUUAGGUCCUGUGGAAAUGAUAUAUGAGUCAGGAAGUUCUGGACCUGGGCAAUGGCUACUGAGUGUGAAGAGGAGUUGUAACGAUGGAGAGAGAAGCCGAGGAGAAGUCCACAGCAUAUAAUGUACUAGAGCUCUAGCUUUGGUUGGGGUGCAGGUUUUAUACCAACGUACACAAAUGCAAGAGCACACACACACACAUACACACGGACACACAGACACGUUCUUCUGAACUCAUCUGAUACAGAAGACUUCCAGCAUGAGAAGCCUUACACCCAACCUCAAUGAGAUAUGGAAACAGGAGGGAAGCCAGACUUCGGGAAAAGUUGGCCACAUCGUCUGAGUAGCUGCACCUAGACCAGAUAUGCUGGGAUUGGCUGAAAUCCGGAAAAAACAAAAUUGCCAGUAGCUGGAGAGGUUGUAGAUAUCCAUCUUUGGGGACGUCAGUCACAGGUAGAAGGACAGUCACUGGGCUGGGUCAGCUUCUAGGAGGGAGAUUUGCAAGGAUGCAGUAAGAGUCCAAGCAUCAAAGAGCAGACCAGUGGGCAGGUGCCUAAGAGAACAAGGCGAGAGCCCCAGUAUUGGAACUGGGGUCAUGAUGAGGACUUAACCUCGAGAGCAAGGCACAGGAGAAGCCCAUUUUCAGAGCUGUGGCGCCAGGCAGGACCAGGCCAGGAAGUGAGACCCGGGCAGCACCUGCAAAACUGUCUGAGGUCAGCGUCCCAGCUGCCCUGGGGCUUGUGUUCCUGGAAUCUAGUAGGUAGAACCCAGGGAUGCUCCUGGAACCCUACAGUGCACACAUGGCACCUGCAACAGAUCAGCUGAGGAACCCCGGUCCGAAGUGAUGUUGAAGGUACCAGGAUGAGUCCAGGGGCAAUAGCGGGCAGGAGGACAGGACUGGUGUUAGAGUGAAUCACGAAUGAGGGAGAGUGGCCAGAAAAACAGGAAAGGGUAGCAAAAUUUGAUCUCAUGUCCUUGAAGGAGGCUUCUUGGUUUUUUAAAGGAUGGAGAGAAACAGUUUGGAAGUGGCAAUGAGAGUUAUGUGAGAGACGAGACCCGAGAGCUGCCACUUGAGAAGCCUGGAGGGAGCAGUGUCCUGGGAGCACAGCCAGGUCAGAGUUGGAGCACGAAGGGCAUGCUGGAGGAUGUGGGAAACUUGCUGAGGGUAGACGGUGAGCAGCGGGGGCAACAGAUGUUGGAAGGAAAGGGAGUCAGGUUUGGGGGGCACAGGGUCCUGUGGGGAGAAGCACCCGCAGAGACUUAGCAUUACGAAGUGAUGAUCACGGUGAAUUUGAAGCACAGUGAGAGGG